GACGAACGCUGGCGGCGUGCUUAACACAUGCAAGUCGAACGGUGAACGAGGGAGCUUGCUCCCUCCGGAUCAGUGGCGAACGGGUGAGUAACACGUGAGCAAUCUGCCCCGAACUCUGGGAUAAGCGUUGGAAACGACGUCUAAUACCGGAUACGCCGCGGGUGGGCAUCCUCUCCGCGUGGAAAGAACUUCGGUUCGGGAUGAGCUCGCGGCCUAUCAGCUUGUUGGUGGGGUAACGGCUCACCAAGGCGACGACGGGUAGCCGGCCUGAGAGGGUGACCGGCCACACUGGGACUGAGACACGGCCCAGACUCCUACGGGAGGCAGCAGUGGGGAAUAUUGCACAAUGGGCGCAAGCCUGAUGCAGCAACGCCGCGUGAGGGACGACGGCCUUCGGGUUGUAAACCUCUUUUAGCAGGGAAGAAGCGAAAGUGACGGUACCUGCAGAAAAAGCACCGGCUAACUACGUG
rnacentral:rRNA from 1 species